ACAAAACACCGCAAUUGUUCGGGAAUAGGAAGGACUGACGUUCAAACUAGAGAUUUGACAUUCAAAAAGGACCAAAAAAAAGGAAGGGAUAUUAGCCAACGUACCGUGUUAGAUGAGACAUCCAGGAGGGCAGCGUCGGUGUUUGAGUCAAUCCUCCGCCUUUAUUCCCCCGGUAUGACAGAAAGUGUGUGUGUGUUUUGCCGGUUCACAUGAGAGAGGGAGCGGAGGAGGAGAGAAAAAGAGGGAGGGACGCUGUCAAAGAGGUAAAAAAAGACAUAUAUAUGUGCACACAAUGCCUCCUUUUUUGGAUAGAGACCUCCAUCUUCCCACCAGGAAAUACUCACAUUUUCAUUCAAACGAGCUGCCGUCGUCCCUCCCGUUUUCACAUCGAUAUUUUUAAUUUUUCUAAUUUUUUUUUUACUCAGCCGUCACAUUUUACGCACACGGAGCGUGGGCAUGGAAACAGUGGCUGGUGGAAGACGAGCAGACAGUUGGGCCUGAAUCGCAAAUAAUGAAGCGUACAAAACAUGCAGACCCCACCCAGCAAUGUGGCAAUACAUUGGGCAUACAGCAUACCUGAGUUCUUGUCAAAAUUCCUCCCCGAUCUGCUCAGCGGCUGUCACAAGGCCCUGACUCCCUACAGCACGUCUCCUCUGACAGCAUCAGGCAGACAGGCGACCCUCAUCUGGUCAAAAUAACAACAAUCUGAAGCGCUAAGGACAACUUUGUGACGGGGAAGACAUGAGAGCAACUCGGUUGGACGAGUCUCUUGAGCGAGGACGUCAUUUCCAAACCACUACUUCCAGUGACAAGGGUUGAGGAUGGAAAAAAACAAGUACAAUAAAG